rnacentral:rRNA from 1 species
GAUGAACGCUAGCUACAGGCUUAACACAUGCAAGUCGAGGGACCGGCGCACGGGUGAGUAACACGUAUCCAACCUGCCCUUUACUCGGGGAUAGCCUUUCGAAAGAAAGAUUAAUACCCGAUGUAAAGGAUGGGGAUGCGUUCCAUUAGGUUGUGGGUGAGGUAACGGCUCACCAAGCCUUCGAUGGAUAGGGGUUCUGAGUGGAAGGUCCCCCACAUUGGACCUGAGACACGGUCCAAACUCCUACGGGAGGCAGCAGUGGGGAAGAUUGGUCAAUGGGCGUUAGCCUGAACCAGCCAAGUAGCGUGUAUGAAGAAGGCCUAGGGUUGUAAAGUACUUUCAGUCGGGAGGCGUUACCGACAGAAGAAGCACCGGCUAACUCCGUGCCAGCAGCCGCGGUAAUUC